ACACGGAAGAGGUGGACAUCAGCAAGAAGACUGCCGUGGACGUGCGACUACCGUUCUUCCAGACGGUCCACUCCACCACGCAGUUCUUCAUUGCCCUUGCCUCGGAAAUGUGCGCCCGCACGAACGUGACCAUCGCCAGCCUCCUGAACAAGGCGUUGGGAGCGAAGACAGCCGAGCAGAGGAUGGAGAUGCUGGCCACCCACAUGCCGCAGUACACGGAGCACUUUGGUUGCACUGGAUCGCAGAGGAUGCGGGUCAGCAACCGCUACAUGCAAUGCCUCUUUUGGAACCGCUGACUUCGUUAAUAUACAAGUGUGUACGUUUAAUGAGAAUG